UACUUUUUAGUAUAUGAUGUACUUUGGUUUUUGAUACCAAAAGAAAUGGUUUAAUUCCGUUAAAUGUAA
rnacentral:tRNA from 1 species